UGCAAAGGCAUGGAUCCCAGAGGAGCACAUGUGCCUUCCCUACUGUUCAGCUGGGGCUUGUCUGGCGCUUGGUGGCUGUAACUGGGGGGAACAACAGAUCGGCAGAGCCUACUUGUAGGGAAGGAACCUUCUGGUGCCACUUAGGAACACCUCCCAAAAGAUAAAAAUGUCUGUGGGACGCAAAGUAAUUCAGAUCUGGUUACACUGUUAAGGUUCUCCAACUGCGUAGUUCUGGAGACACACCGAGGACAGUCCAACCGUUUCCUGGACAGAAGCACCCGGGGUCUCUGACUCCGCAACUGUGGACUAGGAAGGAGUCAUCUGGUGCGGGAUUCUGGCUCAUCCUGCACAUUGAAGCACAGGGCAUCUUGUUGCACUGAAGGACCGGUGUUUUAUGACAUUUAGGAGUUCUGAAGGCUUCACUUUCGUCUCUCACUGCCCUGGCAUGAAGUUGCUCCCCGCAGGAACUUACUUGGGGAAUGGUUAGAAUGAAGACAGGAAGCAGAAACUGCCUCGUCCUCCUCUGCAAUCUCCUCAGCGCUCUGCUUCUGCAAAGAGAAGAGUGUCUGUGUUUUGUCUUUUAAGUUCUGGCAGCUGGAGGAAUCCAAUCUGUGGAGAAAUCCUGUGACAGUCGCCUAAGCCAUAUUGUUGCCAGGUCUUGGAAGGAUCAGAUUUCUUCAAAAUCCCUUCCCCACAUUCUUUUAAACUUUUCGACAAGCCCAAACUUACACAUGGAUAGGUUAGGUCUGGGACAUUACUUAGGGGUGGGGUGCUUGCUUAGCUAGCUUGGGGCCUUAGGUUCAAUCCUCAGUGCCAGAACCAACAAAACAGACCAAACUGCAUCAACAAAAACUCUACAAACUCAAAGACCAAAACUAAGAACAAAUCAAUAAGCAUAUGCUUAUUAUUUCUUAACCUUGGGAGGCAAUUCUCUGAGGGCGCUCAGACAGGGACAAUGAGACAAAAGUCACACAUAAGCAGAACUUAACAGGUGUUCUUCAAAAGCCUCAGUAUAAAAGUAGCAUAGGUUCAUAUCCACGGAAACAAAAUAUAGUCCAGUAGUUCUAUUUGGAAUCAGUUUUUAGACUGUGUUUUAUUCAGUGUUUUCUCCACAGAUUCAGCAUAAUCACUUCCUUUGUGACAUUGGUGUUGCCUUCCAAGUGUUCUGUUACUGACUAUAUGAUAUCCUGAUUUAUUAAAUUUCCAUUAUUUUC